rnacentral:rRNA from 1 species
CCACACUGGAACUGAGACACGGUCCAGACUCCUACGGGAGGCAGCAGUGGGGAAUAUUGCACAAUGGGCGCAAGCCUGAUGCAGCCAUGCCGCGUGUGUGAAGAAGGCCUUCGGGUUGUAAAGCACUUUCAGCGGGGAGGAAGGCGUUAAGGUUAAUAACCUCAUCGAUUGACGUUACCCGCAGAAGAAGCACCGGCUAACUCCGUGCCAGCAGCCGCGGUAAUACGGAGGGUGCAAGCGUUAAUCGGAAUUACUGGGCGUAAAGCGCACGCAGGCGGUCUGUCAAGUCGGAUGUGAAAUCCCCGGGCU